UACGUAGGGAGCAAGCGUUGUCCGGAAUCAUUGGGCGUAAAGAGCGCGUAGGCGGUCCGGUAAGUCGGUUGUGAAAACUCGAGGCUCAACCUCGAGAUGUCGAUGGAAACCGUCUGGCUAGAGUCCGGAAGAGGAGUGUGGAAUUCCUGGUGUAGCGGUGAAAUGCGCAGAUAUCAGGAAGAACACCUAUGGCGAAGGCAGCACUCUGGGACGGUACUGACGCUGAGACGCGAAAGCGUGGGGAGCGAACAGG
rnacentral:rRNA from 1 species